rnacentral:rRNA from 1 species
CCUACGGGAGGCAGCAGUGAGGAAUAUUGGUCAAUGGGCGCGAGCCUGAACCAGCCAAGUAGCGUGAGGGAUGACGGCCCUAUGGAUUGUAAACCUCUUUUGUAGGGGAGUAAAACACCUUACGCGUGGCGUUUUGAGUGUACCCGAAGAAUAAGCACCGGCUAAGUCCGUGCCAGCAGCCGCGGUAAUACGGAGGAUGCGAGCGUUAUCCGGAUUUAUUGGGUUUAAAGGGGGCGUAGGCGGAAGAUCAAGGCAGCGGUAAAAUUUAGAGGCUCAACCCGGACGUGCCGUUGAAACUGGCGUGCUUGAGUGAGUGAGAAGUAGGCGGAAUGCGUGGUGUAGCGGUGAAAUGCUUAGAUAUGACGAAGAACUCCGAUUGCGAAGGCAGCAUGCCGGAGCGCAACUGACGCUGAUGCUCGAAAGUGUGGGUAUCGAACAGGAUUAGAUACCCGUGUAGUC